rnacentral:rRNA from 1 species
UACGAAGGGGGAUAGCGUUGUUCGGAAUUACUGGGCGUAAAGCGUGCGCAGGCGGCCUUCCAAGUCAGGGGUGAAAGCCCAGAGCUCAACUCUGGAAUUGCCUUUGAGACUGUGAGGCUUGAGUACGGGAGAGGUGGAGUGGAAUUCCCAGUGUAGAGGUGAAAUUCGUAGAUAUUGGGAAGAACACCGGUGGCGAAGGCGGCUCACUGGCCCGAAACUGACGCUCAUGCACGACAGCGUGGGGAUCAAACAGG